AGAGGUGGCGAGCGUUGUUCGGAUUUACUGGGCGUAAAGGGUGCGUAGGCGGGUUCGGUAUGUCAGGGCGUGAAAUCUCACCGUCCAACGGUGAAACUGCGUUUGAAACUGCCGGACUAGAGUACAGGAGGGGAGAGCGGAAUUCUCGGUGUAGCGGUGAAAUGCGUAGAUAUCGAGAAGAACACCGGCGGCGAAGGCGGCUCUCUGGACUGAUACUGACGCUGAGGCACGAAAGCUGGGGGAGCGAACAGGAUUAGAUACCCUGGUAGUCCCAGCCGUAAACGGUGUGCACUUGGUGUGGGCGGUCUUGUCCCCGUCCGCGCCGGAGCCAACGUGUUAAGUGCACCGCCUGGGGAGUACGGCCGCAAGGCUA
rnacentral:rRNA from 1 species